rnacentral:rRNA from 1 species
AGCGAACGCUGGCGGCAGGCUUUACACAUGCAAGUCGAGCGAGCGUAGCAAUACGUCAGCGGCAGACGGGUGAGUAACGCGUGGGAACGUACCUUUUGGUUCGUAACAACACAGGGAAACUUGUGCUACUCCCGGACAAGCCCUUACGGGGAAAGAUUUAUCGCCGAAAGAUCGGCCCGCGUCUGAUUAGCUAGUUGGUAGGGUAAUGGCCUACCAAGGCGACGAUCAGUAGCUGGGCUGAGAGGAAGAUCAGCCACAUUGCGGCUGAGACACGGCCCAAACUCCUACGGGAGGCAGCAGUGGGGAAUAUUGGACAAUGGGGGCAACCCUGAUCCAGCCAUGCGGCGUGAGUGAUGAAGGCCCUAGGGUUGUAAAGCUCUUUUGUGCGGGAAGAUAAUGACGGUACCGCAAGAAUAAGCCCCGGCUAACUUCGUGCCAGCCGCCGCCGUAA